rnacentral:rRNA from 1 species
AUAGGUUGGAUGUGGAAUCAUAGUGAUAUGUGAAGCUGACCAAUACUAAUUGCUCGUGAGGCUUGAAUAUACAACACCCAAGAAGUUG